GGUAGCAGCGGCGGGGGUCGAAGACGAACCAGCGGCUGCGGAAAUUCCGCAGCGGGCCCUUGCCCGACAGCUUCUGCAGAUAUAAUCCAGAUGUGAACUGAUAAACGAUAGCUGCAUCUUUCAACAUUAUUAUUGUGUUUGCAAUGUAGCAUAUAGGAGAAAGACCAAAUGGAAAAUGAGAAAGGAAGAGACAUGGACACAAACCAACAUUUCUGCAUAUAUUUUUGUGCAAUUUUUUAUAUUCUACAUUGGUGGGAAACAGAAAAGAUCCCAAAAGUUUCACUGACUGCCAUCUAUGAAGAACUGGUUUAUAGAUGAAGAAAUAAGGUGUUUUUUUUUAAUUUGUACGCUCCUUGAUUAGACACAACAGUGUGAAAUAAACAAAAAUAAUUUCUCUUUGUACUCCCUAUGGCCUUGACCUUACAGUCAAAUCCAUGUAAGCAGAUCCUUGCAGAACCCCACUGACUACAACAGGUUUCUGCACAAGUGCAAGGAACUGCCUGGAUCUGAUUGCAGGGUGGGGACCUAUGUCUGCAAAAUCCAUGUCCUGCUAGAUGCAUAGAUCUCUAUAAUUCUUCUUGUAUAUUCAUACCAAUAAACGUUUUAAAAACUAUCCAGACAGAAGGGGAUGAAAUGUAAGUAAGAGGGUUACCAAUUUAGUAAUGAUGAAUUUUCAAAGUAUUAAUCAUGGCUUUGGUUAAGUGCUGAAAACUUGGAACACUUAACUGAACCUCUUUGGUCUAGAAAUCAGCCUGGGAAUCUCUCAAGAACUGCUUUUCUCAGUAGAUGUUCAGAACAUUCUUUUGGGGGGAUAGAUUAGUCAUAUCUUCUUGUGAACAAGGAGGAAACCAAAAUGGCUUCUGUUCAGAAUAGUCUCUUGUAGUAUGUAUUUCCACUUCUGAUACAGGUUAAAAUUGAGAUGUAUAGAAACAUAGAAAUUAAAAAAGAAAAGUUUACUUUUUUUUUUCCAAAUGCCAGAGGUUUAGUUCAGUUCUUCUCAAUUGUUAGCCAAAGUUUGCCUCAAACCUCCCCUACAGUUUUCUCUGGGCAAAAUUCUGCUGUCCUUCCACACAGCAGAUAUCAUCUUUGAAGAGAGGAGAAAUUCUCUUAUGGGUAAAGUACAGAUCUGAGAGUCAGGUUAUCUGGGUUCUGUAUACGUCACUGGUUCACUGUGACCUUGCAAAGGUCAUUGAGUAUCUUUUUGUUUCCUUGUGUGAAGUGGGGAUAAUGCUUCCUCAUGUUGAGGUCUUUAGA